CCCACAGAAGGCCACAUGAUGACGGAGCCAGAGCCUGGAGUGACGCAUCUACAUGGCAAGGAGUGCCAAGUGUGGCCGGCACCGCCAGGAGCUGGGAGGAAGGCUGGAACAGAUCCUCCGCCAGAGCCUCCAGAAGGAACCCGUCCUGCCGACACCUUGACUUUGGACGUCUCCAGAACUGUGGGAGAGUCAGUGUGUGUUGUUUUGAGGCCCCCAGUUUGGGGUGAUUCAUUACGGCAGGCCCAGGAAACUCAUCUGGUGUCUGCCCAGGAGCCUGGCUACAUGGAUGCUCCUGGGAACAUGAGCCCAGCCAAAAGGGCACUGUGGGCUCACUGGCCCCUGGACCCUGCUGGCAGCAGGGGAAACUGAGGCCCACAGGCAUGCCUGGCCGGCCACCCCUCCUGAGCUGUUCUGCCUUGGCUUGGAGCCAUUUGCUGGCUGCUCCCCUGCCACAUGGGCAGCCCUCCAGGGUCACUGCCUCCACCAGGGCUAAGGGUGAGGAACCAAGGGCCUGGGGCAGCCUUGGAGAAGCUCAGAGGGUAUGAAAAUUACACAUCACCAAUGCCACCACAUCUCAGGAUCGAGUGAGGAAGUGUAUGGAAAGGCUCCGCACAGGGCCCCGCACACUGCCAGCCCUUAAUAAAUGUUGGUUGCUGUUAUUUUUACUGGAAAGCAGGAUUAGCACCAAGCCUUGGUUAUAUUCUCCCCACGCUCAGGGUGGCUCCCUCCACCCCUAGUGCCUGCCACUCUGCCCAGCCGGGCUGAAGCUGGAUGCCCGCAGGGCAGGGGGCAGGGAUGGAAUCGUUCCCAAGUCUCCUUCCUGAGGCAUGAGGACCUGGCUGGCAGCUUCACCCAAGGAGGCAGGGGGUGCUGUGUGCAGGUGGCCCCAGACCCUGGAGGAGCCCAUCCAGCCCUUGCUCUGCUUUCUGCAUGCCUGAGCUCAGCCCUUACCAGGUCCAAAAGUGUCAAGCAAGUGAGGCUGGCCAUGGUCAGACACCCGGGGGUCCUCCCAGAGUUGGCUGGGUGCAACCACCUCGUGCAGAGGGAAAAGGAGGUCUAGUGAGGGAGGGUGCCGGAUGAAGCAGGAUCCCCCCACAGGAAAGGCAGUGGCGCCCCCUCUUCCUAGCCCCCUGGGCUCUAGACUUCACGUCAGGAACUGCUCACCUAAGCCUGGUCUUAUGGGGUGUGGGGCACAAACCAAGCCCUGCCCUCAACAGCUGGGGCUUCAGGAGCCACCCUCAGCCCUAGGGUCACCACCUGAGGGACCUGCUACCUCUACCCACUGACCUCCUGAUGAAAGAGGCGCCUUCCGGUGGCUCAAGCCUGUAAUCCCAGCACUUUGGGAGGCCGAGACGGGCGGAUCACGAGGUCAGGAGAUCGAGACCAUCCUGGCUAACACGGUGAAACCCCGUCUCUACUAAAAAAAAAGUACAAAAAACUAGCCGGGCGAGGUGGCAAGUGCCUGUAGUCCCAGCUACUCGGGAGGCUGAGCCAGGAGAAUGGCGUAAACCCGGGAGGCGGAGCUUGCAGUGAGCAGAGAUCCGGCCACCGCACUCCAGCCUGGGUGACAGAGCGAGACUCCGUCUCAAAAAAAAAAAAAAAAAAAAAAA
rnacentral:lncRNA from 1 species